AAGUCCAGCUUCAACCUGAUCUUGUAGGCAGCACUGGAUCUCACAUUGUCUGCAGCAUUUGUCCUUCCUUGAGGCAAAAAAGUGGGGCUUUUGUACACACAUAUCAGUCAACCCUUAGCUUAGGGAAGCCCCAGGGGAAGGGUUGUAACUCCUAGGUAUCUCGUAGACAGGCAACUCCUCUUGCUUAAAGGCAUUUCCCAGACAAGGCUUGCUCUGUGAGCCUUUAAUAGCAGUUAAUAAAAAGAUUGCCAGAGAUCUGAUUGGGACUGCAACAGCCUCAGCUACAUUAAGAUAUGGGGGCACAUUCAAGGCCUGUUUUAUAGAGACUAGCAGAGACCAUAUAAGAAUCACUAACAUGAGCUGCAUACGCUGGAGGCCCCUCUGCUGUCAUUAUUUUAUGUGCUGGAAAACGCUGCGAUGGGAAGACAGCCCAGUCAGAUGGGGAUGGCCUGGAAUAGGAGCCAGGUAUCU
rnacentral:lncRNA from 10 species